rnacentral:rRNA from 1 species
AACGAACGCUGGCGGCAGGCCUAAUACAUGCAAGUCGAACGCCCCGCAAGGGGAGUGGCGCACGGGUGAGUAACGCGUGGGAAUGUGCCCUUAGGUGCGGAACAACGUUUGGAAACGAACGCUAAUACCGCAUAAUAUCUCCGGAUCAAAGAUUUAUCGCCUAGGGAUCAGCCCGCGUUGGAUUAGCUAGUUGGUGGGGUAACGGCCUACCAAGGCGACGAUCCAUAGCUGGUCUGAGAGGAUGAUCAGCCACACUGGGACUGAGACACGGCCCAGACUCCUACGGGAGGCAGCAGUAAGGAAUAUUGGACAAUGGGGGCAACCCUGAUCCAGCCAUGCCGCGUGAGUGAUGAAGGCCUUCGGGUUGUAAAGCUCUUUUAGGUGUGACGAUGAUGACGGUAACACCAGAAAAAGCUCCGGCUAACUUCGUGCCAGCCGCCGCGGUAACAC